rfam:Rhodococcus erythropolis PR4 DNA, complete genome.
CACGCUCACCCUCAACUUGGAUCGUCCGGCACGUUCCUGCCGGUAGAAGGGAUCAACC